CUGUGUGCACGUGUGUCUGCGUAUGGUGGUAUAAAGACACAAUUCUAGGGCUGAACAUCAUGAGGCAGAAAACUUGAACCCUUCUUGAACAGUUGUUGGUGUAAUGAUAUUUAACUUAGCACUAAGUUUAGAUUGUUUUUCUUUCACAUACGGAUCAAACAGCGGUCUAACGGGGUCUGGAGCCUAUCCUAGGAACGCCAGGUACAAGGCAGAAAUACACGCCAUGAUAGGAUGUCAGUCCAUGUCAGGACACCAUGCACAGACACAUUUGCAUAUUCAUCCACACCUUGGGGCAAUUUAGCAAAGCAAACUCAUAAAAUCCCUGGGAGUGUGUGUAUUUGCAGGUGGCUGGAAAUGUAUAUGCUUGUGUUUGUGAGUGUAUUUGUGUGUGUAUUUGCAGGUGGCUGGGGGUGUUUAUAGUUUCGUGUGUAUGUGUGGGUGUCUGAUGCUGCAGGGUGAAAUGGUAGGGGCUGGAAGAUUCCAAGGCCAGGUCAGAAAGUCAAGGUGAUGGCACGUCACUGCCCUCAAGGCAGAAUGUCUGUUUACUACAUAAAUCAGUCAAAGGGUGACCACACACAAAAAAUAUUCUAUCUCUAUAUUCUUCGACACAAUACUUUGGACAGACAUUUGGACAGAGUCUGCAUAUAAAAGACCAAUAUUCAGGUAAGAAUUAUUUCCUCUUCUGUAUAUACAGUAUAUCCAUGAACAUAAAUAUUAUGCUGAAUCAAAUCUUUCAUUGUCAGUCUAAACACAGAAGCUAAUAAUCUAAAUUUUAUGGGUGUAAUUAGCAAAUGAUCACAAGAUGGUGUAUUAAUAAGCCCAAUCCAUCUUGUUUAGAAUCCAGUUUGUGAUUAUUUGAUAAAAAUCCAAGUGGGAAUUGACUGCUGGCUAAUGUGUUAUGAAUUUUGUUUGUUUGUUUGUUUGUUUGUUUGUUUGUGUUUAGGAUUGAGAGCAGUGCAGAGUGCUGGACCUAAGGGUCUUUAAAACUUUAAUUUGUUUUGUUGUUACAGACUGUAUUUGGCUGUAUAGAUCAGAUGCACAGUGUUUCAGUCACUGCAGAGCUCACAAACAUUAAACCAAGCACAUUCGAUUUUCAGCCAAACUGUCUGUUAUACCUGGUCACAAAAAGCCAUCAAACACCCAAUUAGGACAAAUCUUUUUCUCUUUUCUAAAGCCACGAGAAGAAAAAAGAAAAACCAAGAUGACUGGAAGAAGAUAUUCUGUUGCCUGUAGUGACAGUUUUCAGCUGUCAGUAAAAUUUCAAAAAAAUUUUUGCUUUUAAAGCAUCCAAAACAUUUUAAAAGUACAGCAAAUUUUAAUUGUUUACUUACCUAUAAAUCUCAAACAAUUUCAUGAACAUAAUAUUGGAGUACUAGUUUCUUAGUUUUACAUUUUUCAGCCCUAGUAAUGAUCUCCAUCCUUAUGAGAACAGAACAUGGUGGCACUUGAACCAGGAAGCAAACGGUGGUACAGAACCCAUGUAGGAACCUACCUGCAGGAGGCGGUGUGAAUUUGGUUGCACUGGAACUAGUGAUUCUGGACACAGCUCAUAUUCUGGUGUGCAGUUGUUCAGGAAGUAAAGUAACCUGCAUGUGGAUUUUAGCCAAUUUUGACAUCAUUAGUUUUCACAACACAAACAUUAGCACCGAAAUAAUAAAAUAAACAAAAACUAUGGUACGUUGUGUUGUGUUCUCCAUUCACAUUUUUGAGAUAAUGUAGGAUAAAAAUAAAUGCAACAAGGAUUAAUAGAUUCAAUUGAGUCUAAAAUAACCUCUUUAGCUGAAAAGGUAAUGUGCCAAGAAAGACUUGUAACUUUCAAAAAAGAAAACAACACAUUGAUAGAUAUUUGAUAGAUUAUAAACCAGUCUAGUAAAAGUGCUGGAAGUUACUAAGGAUAAACCACCAAAAAAAUAAAAAAAUGAAAUACAAAUCUGCCUUUCUUACCUACCCUCAAAUAUCAUGCAAAUAAGCCAUUUCAAUAAAUGUGCUGUUAAGGAAAGUCUGUCUGCCUAAAGAUGGUAAGCUGAGUUUCCUCAUGCACUGAGUAUUAGGCUUUGAUCAAGUUGCAGCAAAACAGAGUAGAUGAACGAUAUAAAUACCAGCUGUCAUAUUAUCCAUGUUGCGCACACACACACAUUGCUGAUUACACUGUAGACAUGGCAGACAUUUGUAAUGUCUGAAUGUUAAUUAGAAAAAUAUGGGAAAUUUAAUCAACAGAAAAAAACACUGAAGUAAUUCGGCACUGAUGUCUGAGCGAAGAAUGAAGCAAAAGAGUGAAGAGAGAUGAGACUGUAAAGAAUGAUAUGGAUGAUGAUGAUGAGAAGAUUAGAUAUUUUCCAUCUUGAGCUGAUAAUUGUUUGAUAAAGUGAGACUAAUGUCAUUUUUUUAUAAGAAAUUAGGUUUCAUAUGUGAAGGUAGGUGGGGUAUAUACUCGCAAAAAGACUGUCAUCUUAAAAUAAUAUUAAAUCAGGCAAUGAUAAAUCUAACUGAAAUAAUGUAGAGAAGACAGCAAUGUUAUUGAGGACUCAGUUUAAUCUAGUUUAUAAUGUAAACAUAACCAUUUAGGCCAAUCUUUAAAUUCAUUUUUAAAUCAAAUAAAGAGGAUUAUUAUGGAACGUGGAAUAUUAUGUCUAAUAUAAUAUAUUAAAAGAAAUGGUGGAAUAUUUAAAUUCCAAAAGUUAAAAAAAUUAAAUCUUAAAUUCAAAUCUUAAAAAGAGAGGAAAUUGCAUUUAAUAGCUACAUUUCAGAAGCUAUUAAAUGCAAUUUUCCUCUAUUUUUAAGCUUUUAAAAUGUUUAAACUUAAUUUCUGCUUGAAACCCAUUUCUCUGUUUACAAUAUUGACAGAUAAUGUCAGAUCACAGAUUUCUUGCUACUGAGGUUGCCCAGGAUUUUUGCUGUAGAAAUCAGUGACAUAUUGCUUUAUAGAAUAUAUGGUUUCUGUCUUUUUGUAUUUUAAAGAUUAAAUAAGUUUCAAAAGUGUUGUGGUUUAAAAUAAACAGGCUGGGAGAUUCAAUGUUAGAUUAGUCCCACACAGUGGUGGAAAGCCACCACCAUGACUGUGAAUUGUAGCAAUCAGCUCCUGUGAGAUAACAUCUUGGCUGUUAAAUGUGAUGCUUUAAACAACAUAAGCAUCAAAUCAGUAUGUAAAAGUAGAAAGGUCAACUUUUAACUGUGUGGGUUUUCCCAGGCCAUCAUAUAAUAUAAAUAUAACUCUUAUCUGUUGGGCCAAGGGACCACUUCUGGCUGAUUGUAAUACAGUGUUUUUUUGGUUUAGGCUGAUUGGAAGAUCUUUCUUCCAGUUCUAAACGUUAACUGAAAUAACAGAAAAGUGUGAGUUAGUCAGAGAGAGGCAUCCAAACUUGUUUUGAUGCUCCCUGCUGUUUGCAUGUAUUGCAGUGAUUGUGGCAGGCACAUGGUGAACUGCAUGAUGUGUCUGUGGUCGGCUUUGGGCUCAGGCAUGUGGGCUGCUCUGUUUUAGUGACUUGAGCUGCUGGGUUUUCUUUGAUUGGUGCACUUGAUCUGGUAUGGGAUAAUGAUGUUGUGUUUGGCCUGGCUGUUAUGGGCUGUUUGGGUUCCAUGGGGACAGCCAUGCCUGUUCAGACACGUUGCCCUGCUGAUAUCAGCUCUGGGGCUGUUUAUGGCUGAUCCAGGCUCAACAUGCUGGAAGGAGGUCCAAAUCAUCUCAUAACUCCUCAUCUUUUAUAAAGAAAGAUUGAUUUUUGCUAGAUCAUCAAAUAUGUCAUCAAUCCUCAUCCUCCUUGACUGUUCAGCAGCAUUUGACACAAUUAACCACAUGACUGUUGACAGCAUGGCAUCAGUUUGCUUCCUACUCGGAGGGUUGGUCAUAUCAAGCGACCUGGAGAAGAACCACAUCUGCUCCAUGCAGACUCUCCGCUGAUGUCCCACAAGGCUCAGUAUUUGGACCUCUUCUGUUUUUUUCUCUACACCUGAGCUCUUGGAGAUAUGUAGGUCAAAUCCUCACAUGGGUUUUCAUACCACUGCUAUGCAGAUUAUACUCAACUCAAUCUUUUCUUCUGGUGUCCAAAAAAUUGAGCAGCUGAAUACCUACCUAUUUCUCAAGCUCUUAAAAUGAGCACUUUAAUUUUAAAAAAGGCUGUUUUGUUGUGUGCCUUUCUAUACUGUAUAUAUAUAUAUAUAUAUAUUCCGUAUGUAUGUAUGUAUGUAUGUAUGUAUGUAUGUAUC